UACGUAGGGUGCAGGCGUUAAUCGGAAUUACUGGGCGUAAAGCGUGCGCAGGCGGUGUGCUAAGACAGGUGUGAAAUCCCCGGGCUUAACCUGGGAACUGCAUUUGUGACUGCAAGACUAGAGUACGGCAGAGGGGGGUAGAAUUCCACGUGUAGCAGUGAAAUGCGUAGAUAUGUGGAGGAAUACCGAUGGCGAGGGCAGCCCCCUGGGUCGAUACUGACGCUCAUGCACGAAAGCGUGGGGAGCAAACAGG
rnacentral:rRNA from 1 species